rnacentral:piRNA from 1 species
UGGCUAUUCACAGGUGCGGUCAUAGCAAUC